UUCGGUGGUGGAUUAGUGGCGAACGGGUGAGUAACACGUGGGCAAUCUGCCCUUCACUCUGGGACAAGCCCUGGAAACGGGGUCUAAUACCGGAUAACACUCUGUUCCGCAUGGAACGGGGUUGAAAGCUCCGGCGGUGAAGGAUGAGCCCGCGGCCUAUCAGCUUGUUGGUGGGGUAAUGGCCUACCAAGGCGACGACGGGUAGCCGGCCUGAGAGGGCGACCGGCCACACUGGGACUGAGACACGGCCCAGACUCCUACGGGAGGCAGCAGUGGGGAAUAUUGCACAAUGGGCGAAAGCCUGAUGCAGCGACGCCGCGUGAGGGAUGACGGCCUUCGGGUUGUAAACCUCUUUCAGCAGGGAAGAAGCGCAAGUGACGGUACCUGCAGAAGAAGCGCCGGCUAACUACGUGCCAGCAGCCGCGGUAAUACGUAGGGCGCAAGCGUUGUCCGGAAUUAUUGGGCGUAAAGAGCUCGUAGGCGGCUUGUCACGUCGGAUGUGAAAGCCCGGGGCUUAACCCCGGGUCUGCAUUCGAUACGGGCUAGCUAGAGUGUGGUAGGGGAGAUCGGAAUUCCUGGUGUAGCGGUGAAAUGCGCAGAUAUCAGGAGGAACACCGGUGGCGAAGGCGGAUCUCUGGGCCAUUACUGACGCUGAGGAGCGAAAGCGUGGGGAGCGAACAGGAUUAGAUACCCUGGUAGUCCACGCCGUAAACGUUGGGAACUAGGUGUUGGCGACAUUCCACGUCGUCGGUGCCGCAGCUAACGCAUUAAGUUCCCCGCCUGGGGAGUACGGCCGCAAGGCUUAAACUCAAAGGAAUUGACGGGGGCCCGCACAAGCAGCGGAGCAUGUGGCUUAAUUCGACGCAACGCGAAGAACCUUACCAAGGCUUGACAUAUACCGGAAAGCAUCAGAGAUGGUGCCCCCCUUGUGGUCGGUAUACAGGUGGUGCAUGGCUGUCGUCAGCUCGUGUCGUGAGAUGUUGGGUUAAGUCCCGCAACGAGCGCAACCCUUGUUCUGUGUUGCCAGCAUGCCUUUCGGGGUGAUGGGGACUCACAGGAGACUGCCGGGGUCAACUCGGAGGAAGGUGGGGACGACGUCAAGUCAUCAUGCCCCUUAUGUCUUGGGCUGCACACGUGCUACAAUGGCCGGUACAAUGAGCUGCGAUGCCGUGAGGCGGAGCGAAUCUCAAAAAGCCGGUCUCAGUUCGGAUUGGGGUCUGCAACUCGACCCCAUGAAGUCGGAGUUGCUAGUAAUCGCAGAUCAGCAUUGCUGCGGUGAAUACGUUCCCGGGCCUUGUACACACCGCCCGUCACGUCACGAAAGUCGGUAACACCCGAAGCCGGUGGCCCAACCCCUUGUGGGAGGGAGCUGUCGAAGGUGGGACUGG
rnacentral:rRNA from 1 species